rnacentral:rRNA from 1 species
AUACGGAGGAUCCGAGCGUUAUCCGGAUUUAUUGGGUUUAAAGGGUGCGCAGGCGGGAGAUUAAGUCGGCGGUGAAAUUUUGCAGCUCAACUGUAAAAGAGCCUUUGAAAAUGGGUUCCUUGAGUGUAGAUGAAGUAGGCGGAAUUUGGGGUGUAGCGGGGAAAUGCAUAGAUAUCACGAGGAACUCCGAUUGCGCAGGCAGCUUACUAAACUACUACUGACGCUCAGGCACGAAGGCGUGGGGAUCAAACAGGAUUAGAUACCCUGGUAGUCCACGCAGUAAACGAUGAUUACUAGCUGUUUGCGAUACAAUGUAAGCGGCUGAGCGAAAGCGUUAAGUAAUCCACCUGGGGAGUACGUUCGCAAGAAUGAAACUCAAAUGAAUUGACGGGG